rnacentral:tRNA from 1 species
CCCUUCGUGGUGUAACGGUUAGCACACUCGGCGCGUAUUCGAAAGGUCCAGGUUCGAGUCCUGGCGAGGGCA